rnacentral:rRNA from 1 species
GUGGGGAAUAUUGGACAAUGGGCGCAAGCCUGAUCCAGCCAUGCCGCGUGUGUGAAGAAGGCCUUCGGGUUGUAAAGCACUUUUGUUGGGAAAGAAAUCCUGUCGGCUAAUACCCGGCGGGGAUGACGGUACCCAAAGAAUAAGCACCGGCUAACUUCGUGCCAGCAGCCGCGGUAAUACGUAGGGUGCAAGCGUUACUCGGAAUUACUGGGCGUAAAGCGUGCGUAGGGGGUUCGUUAAGUCAGAUGUGAAAGCCCCGGGCUCAACCUGGGAAUUGCAUUUGAUACUGGCGGACUAGAGUGCGGUAGAGGAGAGUGGAAUUCCCGGUGUAGCAGUGAAAUGCGUAGAGAUCGGGAGGAACAUCAGUUGCGAAGGCGGCUCUCUGGACCAGCACUGACACUGAGGCACGAAAGCGUGGGGAGCAAACAGGAUUAGAUACCCGUGUAGUCC